rnacentral:rRNA from 2 species
AGUCGAGCGGACAGAAGGGAGCUUGCUCCCGGAAGUUAGCGGCGGACGGGUGAGUAACACGUAGGUAACCUGCCCCUUAGACUGGGAUAACUCCGGGAAACCGGAGCUAAUACGGGAUAAUAAAGAGAAUCGCCUGAUUUUCUUUUGAAAGACGGUUUCGGCUGUCACUAAGGGAUGGACCUGCGGCGCAUUAGCUAGUUGGUAAGGUAACGGCUUACCAAGGCGACGAUGCGUAGCCGACCUGAGAGGGUGAUCGGCCACACUGGGACUGAGACACGGCCCAGACUCCUACGGGAGGCAGCAGUAGGGAAUCUUCCGCAAUGGACGAAAGUCUGACGGAGCAACGCCGCGUGAGUGAGGAAGGCCUUCGGGUCGUAAAGCUCUGUUGUGAGGGAAGAACAAGUGCCGGCGUAACUACCGGCACCUUGACGGUACCUCACCAGAAAGCCACGGCUAACUACGUGCCAGCAGCCGCGGUAAUACGUAGGUGGCAAGCGUUGUCCGGAAUUAUUGGGCGUAAAGCGCGCGCAGGCGGCUUCUUAAGUCUGAUGUGAAAUCUCGGGGCUCAACCCCGAGCGGCCAUUGGAAACUGGGGAGCUUGAGUGCAGAAGAGGAGAGUGGAAUUCCACGUGUAGCGGUGAAAUGCGUAGAUAUGUGGAGGAACACCAGUGGCGAAGGCGACUCUCUGGUCUGUAACUGACGCUGAGGCGCGAAAGCGUGGGGAGCAAACAGGAUUAGAUACCCUGGUAGUCCACGCCGUAAACGAUGAGUGCUAGGUGUUAGGGGUUUCGAUGCCCGUAGUGCCGAAGUAAACACAUUAAGCACUCCGC